rnacentral:tRNA from 1 species
GGGAUUGUAGUUCAAUCGUCAGAGCACCGCCCUGUCAAGGCGGAAGCUGCGGUUCGAGCCCCGUCAGUCCGA